rnacentral:misc_RNA from 1 species
AACGCACCUUGCGCUCCUUGGUAUUCCGAGGAGCAUGCCUGUUUGAGUGUCAUUAAAUUCUCAACCUCACCCGUUUUCUGAACGGUUCUCCGAGGCUUGGAUGUGGGGGUUUGUGCAGGCUGCCUCAGCGCGGUCUGCUCCCCUGAAAUGCAUUAGCGAGUUCGUACUGAGCUCCGUCUAUUGGUGUGAUAAUUAUCUACGCCGUGGACAGGGUUUAGACUCGCUUCCAACCGUCCGCAAGGACAAUACCUUUGACAAUUUGACCUCAAAUCAGGUAGGACUACCCGCUGAACUUAA